GCUGAGCUGUUCUGGCUGGAAGACCUCACUUGUCUCCCUGUCCACACUUUUGUCUGUGGGGCCUCGUGACCGCUGAUGCUGAUGUGUGGAAAAGCCACAACCUCCAAGGGGCUCCAUCCUCCCAGAAAGCACUCCGCGGAGGAAGGAGAGAGGGGAGGGAGUUUCGCUCCAGCUGCCCGCAGGCCAGAGUGCAAUGGCAAGAUCUCGGACCACUGCAACCUCCACCUCCUGGGUUUAAGUGAUUCUCCUGCCCCAGCCUCCUGAAUAGAGGAAUAUGUGAUUUUUAUUUAAAAGUUGAGUGAAGAUAAUUAGUGCUUCAAAAUGUUCUGAUGGCAUCCACACAUAUUAACCUGCACAUAUGAAUCCCACAGUGUCCUGGAGAAAUUGUUACGAGUUUACAGAUCAGGAAAUGGGGGUCUGAUAGGUUAAGUAACUGGGGUGUGAACACAUUCAGUGUGGGCAGGCUGCUGUGGGUCUGAAGCUCUUGCCCUCUCCUCUCCAAGGUGCUGACAAUCUCUCAGGCUCAAGAGGCUAACGGGCCAUCACUCCUACCCUGUGCUUUUCCAAGGACAUGGACACAGGGGUGACCCCAACCCCUCCCAUUCCUCCAGCAACAAUGGGGAAUAAGCUACUUUUUGUUUAUCAAUUUACUUCUGAGGGACAUUUGGGUCCUUUCCAAUGCUGGACUUCUACACACAAUGGUACGUUGGGUCCAGUGACCUGUGCGUCUGGACUUCUCAUGUGCACACCUUGGAUGAGAAGUGUUGUGUCAAGAGGUCUCCGAAGAAGACAAUGCUGACCAGCUUUCCAAAUGGCUGGAUCAUUUACGUUCCAGAGGCUCCUCAUCCUCCCCAGCACUGGUAUUGUCAGAUAUCUGUGACUCGUUUGGAGAGAGUAACUUUUAAAACGUGUGAGUGCUCCAGGAUCCCGACACCCCGGAAUUCAGGAUGGCCAGGACUGCAGCCCCCUGUUGUGAGGUUUCCUGAGCAGACCUGGGCCUGCGGCCAGAGGGGCACAGCUGGCCUUUGUGUUUUAUGCACCAUCCGAAAAUGCUUGAAGAUUCACUAGCUUUCUUUGAAUCUAAUUUAGAUUAUACAGAGCUGUUAAAUGUGGAAUAUUUUAAAGACAAAUGAUAGGAGUCUUUUAACCUUUAUUUUUGUUGUGUAAUUUUUGACCAUUAAAUAUGACCUUUUUUGAUCUUAUGUUUAAAAAGAUGUACUGGCUCACAUUAGACCCAAGACUGGCUCACAUUAACUUUUCCAAGAGCAACAUAUAAUUAUUAAUCAUGUUUCUCUCGUAUUAAAUAUAUGGCUACUGUAUUACUAAAAAAUAUCAAAAUAAUUUAUGACUUUUAGAAAAUUCACAAUGCUGGUCCUUAUAAAAAAAAUCAGGGUGAAGGUUAGUGGAAGGAGUGCUCUUGUGCAGUUAUUUUUCUUUGGAUAUUUUUAAUAUCUUUACAGAAAGCUCAUAAAUAGAAGUAGACAAGGAAAAUUUUGUCCUUAAGUCUAAAAAUAUUAUUUUCCUCCCCUUUCCUUCAAAUUAUAAAGACUUUAACAUCUCAUAGUUUCUUUUUUCUUUUUUUU
rnacentral:lncRNA from 13 species